AGUGAACGCUGGCGGUAGGCCUAACACAUGCAAGUCGAACGGCAGCACAGUAAGAGCUUGCUCUUACGGGUGGCGAGUGGCGGACGGGUGAGGAAUACAUCGGAAUCUACUUUUUCGUGGGGGAUAACGUAGGGAAACUUACGCUAAUACCGCAUACGACCUACGGGUGAAAGCAGGGGAUCUUCGGACCUUGCGCGAUUGAAUGAGCCGAUGUCGGAUUAGCUAGUUGGCGGGGUGAAGGCCCACCAAGGCGACGAUCCGUAGCUGGUCUGAGAGGAUGAUCAGCCACACUGGAACUGAGACACGGUCCAGACUCCUGCGGGAGGCAGCAGUGGGGAAUAUUGGACAAUGGGCGCAAGCCUGAUCCAGCCAUACCGCGUGGGUGAAGAAGGCCUUCGGGUUGUAAAGCCCUUUUGUUGGGAAAGAAAAGCAGCAGGUUAAUACCCCGCUGUUCUGACGGUACCCAAAGAAUAAGCACCGGCUAACUUCGUG
rnacentral:rRNA from 1 species